GACGAACGCUGGCGGCGUGCCUAAUACAUGCAAGUUGAGCGCUGAAGGUUGGUACUUGUACCAACUGGAUGAGCAGCGAACGGGUGAGUAACGCGUGGGGAAUCUGCCUUUGAGCGGGGGACAACAUUUGGAAACGUAUGCUAAUACCGCAUAAAAACUUUAAACACAAGUUUUAAGUUUGAAAGAUGCAAUUGCAUCACUCAAAGAUGAUCCCGCGUUGUAUUAGCUAGUUGGUGAGGUAAAGGCUCACCAAGGCGAUGAUACAUAGCCGACCUGAGAGGGUGAUCGGCCACAUUGGGACUGAGACAAGGCCCAAACUCCUACGGGAGGCAGCAGUAGGGAAUCUUCGGCAAUGGACGAAAGUCUGACCGAGCAACGCCGCGUGAGUGAAGAAGGUUUUCGGAUCGUAAAACUCGGUUGGUAGAGAAGAACGUUGGUGAGAGUGGAAAGCUCAUCAAGUGACGGUAACUACCCAGAAAGGGACGGCUAACUACGUG
rnacentral:rRNA from 1 species